rnacentral:lncRNA from 1 species
AGCUGACUCACAACGCCACAUUCCUCUUGAAUCCCUAUGAAGGCAUUGUUUUCGCCAACACCACACCUGCGGCGAAGGACCGCAACAGCAUCGACAUAGCUUACAGACGCACCGUUGUCAGAUUGUUAAUUAAAUCGGUGAGUAUAAUUUUGGUGGCGCUGCUCAUCCGGCAGGCGUCGACAAAGAAAUGGACUCAGCUGCGUUGCUGGAAUCGAAGUGACAGGCGAAAUAAUGAGGGCAGAUUUCGUGGUUAACGCGACUGCAUGAAUGUCGAAAAAACUUUGACAAAUAAGGGAAUUAAUAUAGUUUUUGAUACAAAAGCUCAUCUGGAGGUCUUGAUUUCAUUAUUUGUCAAAAUUCAAUUAAGGGUGCCAAAUACACACUUAGACUAAGAGAAAAAACCAGGUAUGCCAAGUAAAUAAGCAAAAAAAAAAAAAAAAUGUUUUCGUAUUUGAGUGAUGCUUUAUUUCAAUAGAGCUAAGAAUUUUAUCUUUAAAAAUAUUUUUUCGACAUUGCAGUUAAGUUUAAGGAAGUUGUAAAUUUGGUCCAUUGCGUUUACGAGUGAUUGCACAAAUUCACUGUUAGCUGUGCAGAAAAUAAGAAUU